GCUACCUACAGUGACAUCAUCACAGGGAGGUGUGCAUUUUGGCUCUGACUGAAAAAAGGUGGAAGCUGAAUUAGUGAGGAUGACUCCUGUUCCUGUCAUCUCUAAGCUCCUCACACAUCUUUACCUGCACAUGAGGAAAAUCACUCCUGUAGAAUGCAGAUGUUCAGAGGGAGAUGAUGCCACAUCUGGUCCAGCUGAUGGAAGGUCUUGAAGUUCUCUGACUGGCCUGGACUGAAGAUGGUCGUCUCACUGGAUUUAAGGUUCAGAUGCUCAGUAACAAACUCCACCAAUGAGCCAACAGGGAAGCUUUAGGUUUAUUAAAUGUUGCUAUGAAGGUUUCGCUGUUUUUCUUUGUGAAUGCAAUGUGCUCCAACUGAAACUUGAAGUAGAACUUAGAAGUAAAUCCUUCCAUCUGAAAGGAUUUAGUUGCAUUGAUAACCUCAUAACAUUCUAAUUUUUAUUCCAGUCUUGGUUGGAAAUAGAAUCUCUGUAUUGAUUUAGGUAAAAACUGAACUUCACAGCAUGUUGAAGCAAAACAACCAGAUGAAAACUGUGAUGGUGUUGGAUUGUCAGACCGUAAUGUUGCAGCUCAAAGCAGCUUUUCUAUCUCAGUUCAUUCUGACAUUCAGCUAUGAAUCAACACAGCAGAUGGUGAUCCAUGCUGUGGAAGUCUCACAUCUCCUGAUUUAAUGGAGCUGCUUUGCACUUUUUACACUGUUUAUUCACCAACACUUUAUUUAAUAAAAGUCCCAUCUAGUUUUCAUGAGGAAUGUGAUGUUUUAAUUUCUCUGUGAAUAACUGCAGUCUAAUGCAACAGCUGGAGUUGUAACAUCUGUCCUGAUAUUGAUCAUGAAGUAUUGAUCAGAAUACUUAUGGUUAGCAGUCAUUCCUGAAGUUUUACAUUAAAAUCUUUACUUGUGUUGUGAACUUUGGUGAGAAGCAGAAACUUUAGCGUUGCCAUGGAUACAUGAGUGUUAAAUUCUGUCCAUGUUUCCAUUUUGGGAAAUGCAGUCCAGUUCCAGAAUGUGGAGGAAUUUAGUCUCACAAUCACAGACAACAAAUAUUAUCUGAAAGUUGGGUUAUUGUUGUUUAUCAGCACAAUACAAAAAGAUUAAUUUUAGAAAUUUCCAGUUAAGACUCUAGAAUAUCAUGAUUUAUGUAAAUUUAACUCAAUAAUAUGAAUGUUCAGGUUAAGAUUGUACAGUGAUAUUUAUUAUGUAAGUUUAGCUGAUUAAAGUUUAUGACUGCACAAAAAUAUUAUUUAAAUUUACAUCAUUAUUAUAAUAUUUAGGGUCAGACCCUACAGUAUUGAGAUUAAGAAAUCAAAUAUUCUAUAAAAUGUAAAUACACUGAACUCAUUUGGAUAUAUUUAAGUGAGACUCUACAAUAUUAUUUGACACAAAUCUAUCUAAAUCAAAAUUUUAGUUAUUUUUAUUCCAAACAUUUACUGGACUGAUUUAAAUAUUAAAAUCACUCCUUUCUAAUCCUCUGCUGUACGUUCAAACCUGAGGCCUUAAAUAGAAACACACAAGUAUCUGAUUGAAGGAACUUCUGCAGAGUCCUGGUUCCAGAACAUGAUGAUAGAAUUAUAAACAAACUUUAACAAAAGCUGCCUGAGAGUUUACAGGUUUUUAUGUUAGAUUUCUUCAGUAAUUUAAUGAGCGUUAUCAGCAAAAAUCAAGUGUUCAUUUGAUGAACUUCAUUUCCUAAAACAUCCAGAAUUGGAGCUCAUAUCUUUGGCAGCUGUAAAGUUUCUGCUCCUUCAAAGUUCACAACACAAUGAAUGAAUUCCUAAAACACUCUCAAUGCUGGAGAGCAUUUGUGAUGCUGAAGCAGUGACCAGUUUUUCUGUUUCUUCUCUGGAGAUGCACAAUGAGGGACGUCUGCAGAGACUGAGAAAGAGUCUCACCACAUCCUGACAUGAGGAAAAAGACUUUAUUGAAGACUACAAUGAGAAAAACUAUCAGAUAGCAGACGGCUGCAUUCAAGUCUGUAGCUGCUGAAUUCAUGGAUGAAUCAUCUGGCACUAGAGAGGAAGACCAUCAAACAUCCACGUCAGCUGAUGGAGGUCCAAGAGUCUCACCCAACAAACAACCUACAGAGUGAAGACCUCAAAUCUGAUUGGACGGCCUCCUAUUCAGCCACGUGUGAACAAAUGCCUCUAAGCUGAUUUGUUUUCUAAAAUAAAUCUAGUUUGAGUCCUAAUCUAUGCCUGUGUGUUUGCUUCUUUACACUGCUGUUAACAGUUUAGGCUGUUAGAUUGUUCCAGAUAAGACAAGUACAAGAUUCUUCAGAGCCGUUCUACCACGAGCCUGACAGGAAGAACUCCAACAGCUACUGAAUGUUCCUGUGGUUCCCUCAAG
ensembl:lncRNA